AUUGUUCUUUUCACUGUUAGUGAGGAGCGGUCAAGGAUGCGUAUUAAGAAAAUAACUAGAAGUGGCCGCAUGAUGUACCUCUCACCAAUGAGAUGCCUGUCAAGGGUAUACGUGGGUCUUUUGAAUCUACUGGUAAUUGCUUUAUGAAUCUGGGAGCUCCAGACCUAGGAUCUUAUUCACUGAUUUGAAGAGUUCAUGCAUCGAGCCAGUAGGCUGUGCACAUGGGUAAAAACUGGCUGCGGCUAAACAGGUAUUGUAAAUGAAGUGGACUUCGUGGUUUCUUUAUCCACCAAUAAAUUAAAAGAAAACUUACAGGAAAUGGACACAGCCCUGGAUAAAUGCAACUACUAAGAUUCAACCAAGAAGUAAAAAUCCUGAACACACCAAUACAACUAAUGGAUUUAAUCAGUAAUAAAAAGUCUCUCACCAAGAAACAGCCCAGGACUAAAUAGUUUCACUGCUGAAUUCUACUUAACUCUUAAAGAAGAAUUAAUAUUACCUCUUCUAAAACUAUUCCAAAACACUGAAGCAGAGAGAAUUCUUUCUAACUCAUUCUGUGAGGUCAACAUAACCAUGAUUCCAAAACUAGAUAAAAACACCACCAAAAAAGGAAAACUACAGGCCAACAUCCCUAAUAAACAUACAGGCAAAAAUUCUCAACAAAAUAUUACCAAACUGAAUCCAACAGCAUAUCAAAAAGAUAAUACAUCAUGAUUAAGUGGGAUUUAUCCCAGGGUUGUAAGGAUGUUUCAACAUAUGCAAAUAAGUAAAUGUGAUACAUCACAUCAACCAGAUGAAGGACAAAAAGUAUAUGAUCAUUUCAACAGGUGUGGAAAAACAAUUGAUACAAUUUAACAAUGAUAUAUGAUAAAAGCUCUAAAUAAAUUGGGUUUAGAAGGAAAGUAGCUCAGGGCUAUGAAUGUCACAUAUGACAAACCCACAGCUAACCUAGCAAACGGGGGAAAGCUGAAAGCUUUUCCUAUGAGAACUGGAAGAAGAUAAGAAUCCCCACUGUCACCACUUCUAUUCAACAUAGUACUGGCAGUCCUACCCAGAGAAAGAAAUAAAGGGAAUCCGUGCUAGAAAGAAAGAAGUCAAUUUAUCUCUGUUUGCAGAUGAUAUAAACUUGUGUAUACAAAAACCUAAAGACUCUAUCAAAAACUCUUAGACCUGACAAGAAAUUCAGCAAAGUUUAAGGAUACAAAAUCAACAUAUGAUAAUUGGUACUAUUUCUAUACAUGAACAACAAGCUAGCUGAAAAAGAAUUAUUUUUUCUGAAUCUGGUUCCUGCUGUUGCAUUUCUUGUUAAAGUAUUAUUCAUGCUCUCUUAUUCUACUUAGAUGAUCAUUGUUUACAUUUAUUCAAUUUAUCAUUUCCUUUCUGUUAUUUAGCACUGCUUAUUUAAAAUUAUAAAUUUGAGUCAACUAUUUCACAAGAUAAUAUUCAACUAUAUUUAUUACAGUGCAGAACAUGGAAAGGUUCAGAAUUUUAAAAGGCAUAUGUCUUAAAGGAGCAAAAUUUAAUUAUACUCUGAAUAUUAAGUACAUUUGAGAGAUGUAUCUUCAAGUUUAAAGUUCUUUUUCUGGAUUCUACA
rnacentral:lncRNA from 1 species